ACCGGAGGCUGCAAGGACACCAAACAGGGAGGCACAUGGCAGGCACAAGGUGCUGUGGGCCUGGGCUGGGGUAGCAGGAUGAGAAUGAGAAAGAAAGAACAACUCUAAGGUUUGAAAUAUUUCAUAGAGAGGGGCUCUCUAUGCACUCCGAAUCCCUGUCUGAGCUUGGGCCACUCUGAUCUACUUGUUGGUCCCUAAAUGGUCUGCUAAACCUCUCUUCUUCAAAGUGGGGUCGGCAGCUUCUCAGAAAUGCAGAUUCUCAGGUCUCAUCCAGAUCCGCAGAUUCAGAACCCACAAUUUAACAUGCUCCAGAUUAAGGGUCCUGAAUGACAUCUAUAUUUUUAAAAAUCUAGAAUUUGCACGUCAUUUCUAACAAGAACAAUGUAAGUGACAUCCUUGUUUCUUCUUCUGGUAACUAUGCCUGGGAAAUUCUGCUACUCCACUUUCAGUCAUCAUGGUUCAGACUAGGCUAAGGCCAGUUCCAUGCCAUGUGGACCAAGCCUGGCCAAUCAGAGCAUCAUGGCCCAGGAACCACAGGAUAAGCUGAAAACAGCACAUGACCCUGCCAGCCAGCAACAAUAAGAGGCAAUGAGAUUGGCUGUGAUAUUUUGGGAACUUUUAGAGAAGAGGUAUUCUCUUUCUGCUGGAGCUGCCAGGGUUGAGCAAGGAAAAAACAAAGCCUGAGAAUGAAGGUAACAUAUAAGGAAGCAAACUCAAGAAGUGGAUACACACCAAGAGUCAGCCAUG